CCUGCCCCUAGAGGUGUUGGAGGUAUGGUUGCUACAUCAUAUGUGUGUCAGUAGGUGGCAGAGAAGGGAGAGGCUAUGUCUAUGCUCACUGUUCUGACCUAUGAACAUAUGAAUGAUUAGAAGUUUAACAUC